GUGGGGAAUCUUGCGCAAUGGGCGAAAGCCUGACGCAGCCAUGCCGCGUGAAUGAUGAAGGUCUUAGGAUUGUAAAAUUCUUUCACCGGGGACGAUAAUGACGGUACCCGGAGAAGAAGCCCCGGCUAACUUCGUGCCAGCAGCCGCGGUAAUACGAAGGGGGCUAGCGUUGCUCGGAAUUACUGGGCGUAACGGGCGCGUAGGCGGACAGUUUAGUCAGAGGUGAAAGCCCAGGGCUCAACCUUGGAAUUGCCUUUGAUACUGGCUGUCUUGAGUACGGGAGAGGUGAGUGGAACUCCGAGUGUAGAGGUGAAAUUCGUAGAUAUUCGGAAGAACACCAGUGGCGAAGGCGACUCACUGGCCCGUUACUGACGCUGAGGCGCGAAAGCGUGGGGAGCAAACAGGAUUAGAUACCCGUGUAGUCC
rnacentral:rRNA from 1 species